ensembl:lncRNA
GAAAACUGUCCACAAUGUUCAUUUCAUCUCAAAUACACAGCACAGCAAAAAUUGGACAUCCAGAGUAAAUCAAACAUGAUUUAGAGCUUGUUUAUGGAAAAAAAAUUAUUUCUGUAUGUUGCAACUUGCUGAAAACUUUGCACAAUGUUAAUUUCAUCUCAAAUAGACAGCACAGCAAAAAUUGGACAUCCAGAGUGCAACAAACAUGAUUUAGAGCUUGUUUAUGGAAAAGUGCUUAAUUCUGUAUUUUCAUGUUGCAACUUGCUGAAAACUGUCCACGUUGUUCAUUUCAAAUCGAAUAGACAGCACAGCAAAAAUUGAACAUCCAGAGUGCAUCAAACAUGAUUUAGAGCUUGUUUAUGGAAAAAAUGCUUAAUUCUGUAUUUUCAUGUUGCAACUUCCUGAAAACUGUCCACUGUGUUCAUUUCAUCUCAAAUAUAGACAGCACAGCAAAAAUUGGACAUCCAGAGUGCAUCAAACAUGAUUUAG